rnacentral:lncRNA from 1 species
AUGUAAAAAUCACAAGAGGUCUUCCUUUUCUCAAUUUCUUUCAUUUCUCGCAUAAAACAAAUGCUGCCAUCACAUCAAAACUUGUCCAUCGCCUCACAAUCACUACUCACUUGCCCGCAGCUACUGUUCACCCUCUACCGGACUACUCUAUUCUCCCUCACUGCUAUUGCCCAUCGACACUCACUGGCUCCACUGCAUGCGAUGGUCUGCUCCUCCUCUUCUAAAGGUAAAACCUUAAUUCCUUUCCUAAAUUUUAAUUCUUCAAAUCUCUUUCUAGGCUAUUUCAAUACUUUUCCCAACCUAAUAUUUGUCGUUCCCUUAAUUUUCUUUACAGUCUACAAAUUUUCAAUAUUAAAUAGUUGAACUGAGGAAGAUUUUCAUGUUGAACUUGUUCUGCUUUUCAGUACUAUUAUUCAAUUAUGAGCAUCAUAUACCAAUUAUUCAAUUCCCAUUGAACAAAUUUGAGUAAUAAUAAAGAAAACAGAGCAGAAUAAAAAGAUAAGCUAAAAAUUAUUGUUUUUCCCUUUUUCCUUUGGCUAUGAAAUCUAAAGAAUUUAUACAAGCAAGUAGAAGCUAUAUGGUAUUGAAAAACAGCAAGACGGGCGGGUAAAAACAGCGGUUGUUGUUUGAAAGUACUGACAAACACAAUUGACAGCACGUGUGAUGUCUGGGCGAGUGAAAGUGAGGUAAUGGAUACUGCCAACAAGAGCUCUAAAUUUAGUGGCAUUAACUAGAUUAUUAUCAGUAGGUGCUCGUGUAACUUUGAUGGCCAUGAAAGUGGCAAUAGGAGAGUAGUUCUGCAUAUGAGCUUUUGCCAAUAAAUCCUUAGUGUA